CCAAGAAAUCCUUCAGCAAUCACAAGUCUCAACAGGGACAAGAAGUAAGUCUUAUUCUGUGGAGCUAAUCAGUCUUCCUAGUAUGGUGUAAGGAAGACUUACUUGGCGUCCCAAGAUGGCGGCAUCCAAGAUGGCGGCGUCUCCCAUGCGGUUCCUCCUGGGCGCAGCUCUGUGACAUCACGCCAGCGUCAGACGAGUCGCCGGCGUCGGAUUGGUUGCCAGUGCAGAAACGUCAGCAUCGGAUUCAACGCCAUCUGCAAAACACCAGCAUCAUGACGUCACUGCGUCAAUUUUUGGCGCCAAAGGAGGCCUAUAAAAGACGCUGGAGCACUGCUGACUUUACCCUAAAAUAGGUUCUUCCUUGUGAGUUCUUGAGUGUGUUUCUAGAAUUUUAAUUCUUGUUCCUGUGUUUUGACCCUUGCCUGUAACCGUUUACUGAACCUUUGCUGCCUGAACCAACCAUAUUGCCUGAACUCAACUAAUCCUUAUCUGUACCUUGAACUAUUGGACUGGUGCUUCCUCCUUGGUCCGCUACUCCUGACUGAGCCUUCGGGCCCUUUAUAUAUGGACAUUGGAUCGUACAUCCCCUAAAAUAUGUGUUUUGUGCUACCCAUGCCCAAGCCCUGGCUUAGAGUUAUCUUUAAAGAGCUGUUUUAAUUCUUGCAUUAGGCAAGGUGGCAGUUACACAUGCAGCCAAAACUUGCCUCCAAGCCAGAAAUUCAAAACUAAGCACCUGCUUUGAGGUCACUGAGAGCAACAUCCAAAGGUUUGGUGAGCAACAUGUUGCUCAUGAGCCACUGUUUGGAAUUACUGUUUUAAAGUAUAAAGUAUAGACAAGGCACACUACAGGAUUUUUUAUUCAUGCAGCGCUGCUGUGAAAUGCUGCCAGUCAUUUGGACAGGGAGUUGCCCUGCACAUUGUGAAAUAUAAUCUAGAGAUAAACGUUAAAUUGCAGGCAAUAGGCUAAUCCUGUUGUUGCCAAUUAAAUAAAUUAUGGUUUUUGAAAAAUA